rnacentral:rRNA from 1 species
GAUGAACGCUGGCGGCGUGCCUAAUACAUGCAAGUCGAACGAAUCUUCUUCGGAAGAUGAGUGGCGAACGGGUGAGUAAUGCAUAGGUAACCUGCCCCUGUGCGGGGGAUAACAGGAGGAAACUCCUGCUAAUACCGCAUAGCCAUGAGCACCGCAUGGAGCUCAUGCCAAAUAUCCUUUCGGGGAUAUCGCAGGGAUGGACCUAUGGCGCAUUAGCUGGUUGGCGGGGCAACGGCCCACCAAGGCAACGAUGCGUAGCCGGCCUGAGAGGGGGGACGGCCACAUUGGGACUGCAACACGGCCCAGACUCCUACGGGAGGCAGCAGUAGGAAAUUUUCGGCAAUGGGGGAAACCCUGACCGACCAACGCCGCGUGAGCGAAGAAGGCCUUCGGGUCGUAAAGCUCUGUUGUAAAGGAAGAACGGCGCAUACAGGAAAUGGUAUGCGAGUGACGGUACUUUACCAGAAAGCCACGGCUAACUACGUGCCAGCAGCCGCAGUAACAC